UCUUACAAACAACGUGAAUGCUUUUGAUCUUGCCUCUCUCCUUUCUUCAUCCUCCAGGAAGCUGACAGCUGCAGCUGUGGCCACACGUCCAGCACCGUUUUUGGUUUUUUUUUUCUCACAAGGUUCAUUGUUUCCCUAGGUGUAUUUUCCCUUCGUGCUGACUUCUGUCUUCUACACUUGUUUCAGAAUGAGGACAGGUCACUGGAUACGCGGAUAAAUAGAUGAGGUAUAUGAACGGAAGAUGCUAAGAAGUCCAAGGAGGGCCUCUUUCUGCCGAAGCAUUGACACUACCCAGCUCCCCCCACCACGAGGAUGGGCCACAGAGUGGCCAGUGGCUCCGCCCAGACGGACAUUAGCAAAGGACAGCUGGACGCAGUGUGAGGCUACCUCCAAGUCCUUCUCAGUGACGUUUGAUGGAGCGCUGGAGCACAUGCGUGAGCAGGUGGAGAUGCACUCGUGUGCCUCGUCUGCCGCCUUUCCUUGCUGCCAGUUGGCAUAGAAUGUUCACGAUGCCCCAAGAGCACAGGAUUCUGGCAGACCCGGGAUGUGUGGGAGUCCGGUGAGACCCACAGUGAGCACAAGGUAAUGGGGGAUGUCCAUGACUGAGGAAGCAAGGGUGUGACUGCCCCAGGAGGCCACACUUCCGUUUCCAAGGAGAAGGUGCUUCCAAUGCAGAACGAAGGCAAUGGUGUUCUAAGAAACACAACCAAGGAACCCUAUCGUAUCCUUUCUUAGACAUGUGUUAAUUCUCUGUGUUAGCCAGUGACUUAUAUUGAAGAUGAUGACAGGGGCGCCUGGGUGGCUCAGUCGGUUGAGUGUCCCACUUCGGCUCAGGUCACGAUCCCAUGGUUCAUGAGUUCGAGCCCCACAUUGUGCUCAUCGCUGUCAGCACAGAGCCUGCUUUGGAUCCUCUGUCCUUCUCUGUGCCCCCUCUCUCUCUGCCCCUUCCCCCACUCAUGCUGUCUCUCCCAAAAAUAAAUAAAAACAUUCAAAAAAAAAAAAAA